AAGGAUCCUACUUUUUUAAAAGCUUACCAUUUUGUCGGAUCCACCAUUGCUCUAUUAUCCCUGCUGAUUAUUUUGUAUAACGCACAAAAAAUAUACAUAGCUAACCCAACCUUAUUCCCUCACAUUUCUACAAAACAUGAUGAUUCUAUUAUUAAAGAUAAGCAAAGAAAAUAAUGACGAAUAAACAAACGCCUUACCCGUUCUAGAGUUACUGGUAGACAAAAUAAUAAAGAACUACGCUUGAAAUGAACUCAUCUGGAGGCUAACCCUAAUCCCUCACAUUACCAAACAUGAUGAAUCUAUUAUUAAAGAUAAGCAAAGGAAAAAAUGGCGAUUCAACAAACGCCUUAUCCGUUCUAGAGUUACUGGUGGCCAAGAUAAAGGCACUGUGAACUCCU